rnacentral:rRNA from 1 species
AACGAACGCUGGCGGCAGGCCUAACACAUGCAAGUCGAACGCUCCGCAAGGGGAGUGGCAGACGGGUGAGUAACACGUGGGAAUCUUCCUAUUGGUACGGAAUAGCUCAGGGAAACUUGGGGUAAUACCGUAUAAGCCCGAGAGGGGAAAGAUUUAUCGCCAGUAGAUGAGCCCGCGUCUGAUUAGCUAGUUGGUGAGGUAAUGGCUCACCAAGGCGACGAUCAGUAGCUGGUCUGAGAGGAUGAUCAGCCACACUGGGACUGAGACACGGCCCAGACUCCUACGGGAGGCAGCAGUGGGGAAUAUUGGACAAUGGGCGCAAGCCUGAUCCAGCCAUGCCGCGUGAGUGACGAAGGUCUUCGGAUUGUAAAGCUCUUUUGGCGGGGACGAUAAUGACGGUACCCGCAGAAUAAGCCCCGGCUAACUUCGUGCCAGCCGCCGCGGUAAUAC